AACCUUAUGGACCUGCGGGCGUAUACCUGCGGAAGGAUCAUUAACGUAUCUCUGGCGAGCGUCGUCGCGCCCCGCCGCGGUCCAAAAAGCCGCGCGGGCACCCGGUGCCGUCAAACCUUCACAAACCCACUGUGCACCUUUGCGGCAGAGGGCCUCGGGCGAGAGCUCGGGUCCGACGCCGAUCACAAACUCCAGUUCAAAUAGAAUGACCAGCGACCAGCGUGUCGUCUAAAACACUUU
rnacentral:misc_RNA from 1 species